GACGAACGCUGGCGGCGUGCUUAACACAUGCAAGUCGAACGGAAAGGCCCUGCUUUUGUGGGGUGCUCGAGUGGCGAACGGGUGAGUAACACGUGAGUAACCUGCCCUUGACUUUGGGAUAACUUCAGGAAACUGGGGCUAAUACCGGAUAGGAGCUCCUGCUGCAUGGUGGGGGUUGGAAAGGUUCGGCGGUUGGGGAUGGACUCGCGGCUUAUCAGCUUGUUGGUGGGGUAGUGGCUUACCAAGGCUUUGACGGGUAGCCGGCCUGAGAGGGUGACCGGCCACAUUGGGACUGAGAUACGGCCCAGACUCCUACGGGAGGCAGCAGUGGGGAAUAUUGCACAAUGGGCGGAAGCCUGAUGAAGCAACGCCGCGUGCGGGAUGACGGCCUUCGGGUUGUAAACCGCUUUCGCCUGUGACGAAGCGUGAGUGACGGUAAUGGGUAAAGAAGCACCGGCUAACUACGUG
rnacentral:rRNA from 1 species